rnacentral:rRNA from 1 species
CCCCCAUAAGAGGUCAAACCUGCCCAGUGACCCCUGUUCAACGGCCGCGGUAUCUUGACCGUGCAAAGGUAGCGUAAUCAUUUGUCUUUUAAAUGAAGACCUGUAUGAAUGGUUAAACGAGGGCUUAACUGUCUCCUCCCCCCGGUCAGUGAAAUUGACCCCCCCGUGCGGAGGCGGGGAUCCCGACAUAAGACGAGAAGACCCUGUGGAGCUUUUAAAUACAAACCAAGGCCAAGUCCAUAAACGAUUAUAAACAAUAAAACAUGUUGGCCGAGGGUAAUAUUUUAGGUUGGGGCGACCCUGGGGAAUACAAAACCCCCAUGUGGAAUGAGCCCAAAUAAAAUAAAAUACGAGGCUUUAACAUUAAAGAAGCACACUUCUAAUGAGCAGAAUUUCUGACCUGCCAGAUCCGGCCCAAAACCGAUCAACGAACCAAGUUACCCCAGGGAUAACAGCGCAAUCCCCUUUUAGAGCCCUUAUCGACAAGGGGGUUUACGACCUCGAUGUUGGAUCAGGACAUCCUAGUGAUGAAGCCAUUAUUAGGGUUCGUUUGUUCAACGAUUAAAGUCCUACGUGAUCUGGAGUUUC